AGCGAACGCUGGCGGCAGGCCUAACACAUGCAAGUCGAACGAAGCCUUCGGGCUUAGUGGCGGACGGGUGAGUAACACGUGGGAACGUACCUUUUGGUUCGGAACAACUCAGGGAAACUUGAGCUAAUACCGGAUGAGCCCUUAGGGGGAAAGAUUUAUCGCCGAAAGAGCGGCCCGCGUUAGAUUAGCUCGUUGGUGGGGUAAAGGCUCACCAAGGCUACGAUCUAUAGCUGGUCUGAGAGGAUGAUCAGCCACACUGGGACUGAGACACGGCCCAGACUCCUACGGGAGGCAGCAGUGGGGAAUCUUGCGCAAUGGGCGAAAGCCUGACGCAGCCAUGCCGCGUGAAUGAUGAAGGUCUUAGGAUUGUAAAAUUCUUUUACCAGGGACGAUAAUGACGGUACCUGGAGAAAAAGCCCCGGCUAACUUCGUGCCAGCCGCCGCCGUAAGAC
rnacentral:rRNA from 1 species